rnacentral:tRNA from 1 species
GCCCAGAUAGCUCAGUUGGUAGAGCACACCCUUGGUAAGGGUGAGGUCGGCGGUUCAAAUCCGCUUCUGGGCU